rnacentral:lncRNA from 1 species
GCCUGCUGGCUGUGCACUGGCUGUGACCGCCAUGAUGUGACAGAUUUCAGCAGAGGGACAGUCUGACAUGGAAGUGAGUAUGAGGCAAAGAUGUGGAAUUGAAUUCCUCCGUGCAGAAAAAAUGGCACUCACUGACAUUCAGUGACACUUGAACAUUUAUGGAGACCAAACAGUGGAUGUGAGCACAGCGAAGCAGUGAAUGAUGCAUUUCUGCAAUGGUAACA